rnacentral:rRNA from 1 species
AGUGGGGAAUUGUUCGCAAUGGGCGCAAGCCUGACGACGCAACGCCGCGUGGGGGAUGAAGGUCUUCGGAUUGUAAACCCCUGUUGGGUGGGACGAAUGCCUUUCCGGCCAAUACCCGGGAAGAUUGACGGUACCACCUGAGGAAGCCCCGGCUAACUCUGUGCCAGCAGCCGCGGUAAUACAGAGGGGGCAAGCGUUGUUCGGAAUUACUGGGCGUAAAGGGCGCGUAGGCGGCCUGUUAAGUCGGACGUGAAAUCCCUCGGCUCAACCGGGGAACUGCGUCUGAUACUGGCGGGCUUGAAUUCGGGAGAGGGAUGUGGAAUUCCAGGUGUAGCGGUGAAAUGCGUAGAUAUCUGGAGGAACACCGGUGGCGAAGGCGGCAUCCUGGACCGACAUUGACGCUGAGGCGCGAAAGCCAGGGGAGCAAA